UCCAGCACCCCUCGGGGGAGCAGGGGGAGAUGCUGCCGGGAUGCGGGAUGCGGCGGCAGCCGGGCCGGGACCCCCCCGGGCGGGGAGAUAAGGAGGUUAGAGAAGGGGGGGAAGGUGACAGGAGGGGGGGACACAGCCGGGAAGGUGAGAGACAGCGAUGCUCUCUCCUCUGGCCCGGAGCAAAAACCUUUGUCCCGCAGCAGCCUCUCGGACAAGGCUUGGGACAGCCCGGUCUGGUGGAAGAUGUCCCUGCCCACGGCAGGAGGGUCAGGACUGGAUGGGCCUUUAGGUCUUUUCCAACCCAACCCAUUCUGGAGCUGUAGGAUUCCAUGAAAACCACCUCACGCCAGGAGAAGGGCUGGAUGGAGCACGGAGUGGGGAAUUAUGGCCGGAGAGAGAACUCUUGGGACUGCUUUAGGUUUCACCAGCAGAUUCCCCCGGCUGAACCCCUCGGCUGGGCUGAAUUUAGCAGCAGAAGAGAUAACCAGCAGAUAAGGACUGAUACCCUGGGAGGACAGCGGGAGACCAUGGGCGGCCGGGCAAGGGGAGAGAAGCCGGAGGCAGCGUUCGGAAAGGGAAAAAAAGGUACAAAAGCGAUGAUUCCCGUGGAUUGUUUGGCGUGAGAGUGGCCGGAUCCAGCUCUUUCUGCAGGGAAUUAUCGGCCGGUGGGGCCGGGGAUGGCAGGGACGCGCAUCCCGAAAAUCGGGGAGCUGAGGAGCCGCACCGAGCCCGGCGAGACCCAAGAGCCGGCAGGGAGAGGAUGGAUUUAGGACACAAUUUCUCCCGGAAAAAGCAGACGGGACACAGCAAAGCGCAGCGGCAAAAAAAACCAACAAAAAACCCAAACCAAACCUAAAACUCUGUUCUGCACGCUGUGGAGACUUUUUUUUUUCCUUGCGAUUAACGAAAUCUGUGUGAAAAUAACCCAGGGGAACAAACUUUGGCCUUGCCUCUCUCCUUUCCAGCCUAUAGUUCUGCCCCAGGCAGGAAAAAAGUCGAUACGAAAAUAUGCCUAUUUUUAGGGCUUUUUUUGUGGGUUUUUUUUUUUUAAUUUUUUUUCCCCCUGUAUCUAACUUAGUUCCGCGGUGGUUUUAGAGUUAAAGCUCCGGGUGUUGAUGCAUGGGAAAAAAAAAAAAAAAAAAACCCAAAAAACAACCAAACCUCACCCCCAAAAAAACCCCAAAACACUUUAGAAACUAGUGACGGGGGGGACGGAGGGGAAGAGGGGAGAAAGUUAAUUUAAAUUUCUAUCUGCGCUAAAAAUUGAAUUUUUAAAAAGUCACGAAGAAAAAUGGUUAAAAAUAAGGGGAAAAAUCAGCGGGGCAAAUGUGAUUUUAGGAGGGCAAAAGGAAUAAAAGCGGCCGGCGGCUGCUGCGUAUUGGACACUUGGGAGUAUUUGGGG